rnacentral:rRNA from 1 species
UUAGGUUAAGUUAUUAAGGGCGUAUGGUGGAUGCCUUGGCACUAGGAGCCGAUGAAGGACGUGACUAACUGCGAUAUGCUUCGGGGAGUUGUAAGUAAACUAUGAUCCGGAGAUUUCCGAAUGGGGAAACCUAACAGGUUUUACCGCCUGUUAUCACUAAGUGAAUUCAUAGCUUAGUUGAAGGUAGACGUGGGGAACUGAAACAUCUAAGUACCCACAGGAAGAGAAAGAAAUUCGAUUCCCUCAGUAGCGGCGAGCGAACCGGGAAGAGCCCAAACUAAGAAGCUUGCUUCUUAGGGUUGUAGGACUGAACAUCUGAGUUACCAAGAAAUGAAGUAGUUGAAUAAUCUGGGAAGAUUAGCCAAAGAGAGUGAUAGCCUCGUAAGCGAAACUUCGUUUCCUCAGUUCAGGAUCCUGAGUACGGCGGAACACGUGAAACUCCGUCGGAAUCCGGGAGGACCAUCUCCCAAGGCUAAAUACUACCUAGUGACCGAUAGUGAACCAGUACCGUGAGGGAAAGGUGAAAAGCACCCCGGGAGGGGAGUGAAAUAGUUCCUGAAACCAUAUGCCUACAAGUAGUCAGAGCUCGUUAAUGAGUGAUGGCGUGCCUUUUGUAGAAUGAACCGGCGAGUUACGUUAGCGUGCGAGGUUAAGGAGGAAAGUCCGGAGCCGUAGCGAAAGCGAGUCUGAAUAGGGCGAGAUAGUACGUUGACGUAGACCCGAAACCAGGUGACCUACCCAUGUCCAGGUUGAAGGUGCGGUAAAACGCACUGGAGGACCGAACCCGUGUAUGUUGAAAAAUGCUGGGAUGAGGUGUGGGUAGAGGUGAAAUUCCAAACGAACUUGGAGAUAGCUGGUUCUCUCCGAAAUAGCUUUAGGGCUAGCCUCGGAGUUAAGAAUCGUGGAGGUAGAGCACUGUUUGGACUAGGGGCCCGUCUUGGGUUACUGAAUUCAGAUAAACUCCGAAUGCCACAGAUUUAUAUCCGGGAGUCAGACUGCGAGUGAUAAGAUCCGUAGUCGAAAGGGAAACAGCCCAGACCACCGAUUAAGGUCCCAAAAUAUGUGUUAAGUGGAAAAGGAUGUGGAAUUGCAUAGACAACUAGGAUGUUGGCUUAGAAGCAGCCACCAUUUAAAGAGUGCGUAAUAGCUCACUAGUCGAGUGAUCCUGCGCCGAAAAUGUAACGGGGCUAAACACAUUACCGAAAUCGUGGAUGUACCGUAAGGUACAUGGUAGGAGAGCGUUCUAAGGACGGCGAAGCUAGACCGUAAGGACUGGUGGAGUGCUUAGAAGUGAGAAUGCCGGUAUGAGUAGCGAAAGAUCAGUGAGAAUCUGGUCCACCGUAUGACUAAGGUUUCCUGGGGAAGGCUCGUCCUCCCAGGGUUAGUCGGGACCUAAGCCGAGGCCGAGAGGCGUAGGCGAUGGAUAACAGGUUGAGAUUCCUGUACUGGUUAAACUUGUUUGAACAAUGGAGGGACGCAGGAGGCUAUCGAUGCGUACUGUUGGAUAUGUACGUUCAAGCAACAAGUCUGUAGGUGAGUCAAAUGCUUAUCUACUUAAGGACAAGUUGUGAUGAGGAGCGAAAUUUAGUAGCGAAGUGAGAGACGUCACACUGCCAAGAAAAGCUUCUAGUUAGAGUUUAAUCACCCGUACCGCAAACCGACACAGGUAGUCGAGGCGAGUAGCCUAAGGUGAGCGAGAGAACUCUCGUUAAGGAACUCGGCAAAAUGACCCCGUAACUUCGGGAGAAGGGGUGCUGAGCGCAAGCUCAGCCGCAGUGAAUAGGCCCAGGCGACUGUUUAUCAAAAACACAGGUUUCUGCAAAAUCGUAAGAUGAAGUAUAGGGGCUGACGCCUGCCCGGUGCUGGAAGGUUAAGAGGAUGGGUUAGCGUAAGCGAAGCUCAGAAUUGAAGCCCCAGUAAACGGCGGCCGUAACUAUAACGGUCCUAAGGUAGCGAAAUUCCUUGUCGGGUAAGUUCCGACCCGCACGAAAGGCGUAACGAUCUGGGCACUGUCUCAACGAGAGACUCGGUGAAAUUAUAAUACCCGUGAAGAUGCGGGUUACCCGCGACAGGACGGAAAGACCCCAUGGAGCUUUACUGUAGCUUGAUAUUGGG